rnacentral:rRNA from 1 species
UACGAAGGGGGCUAGCGUUGCUCGGAAUUACUGGGCGUAAAGGGCGCGUAGGCGGACAGUUAAGUCAGAGGUGAAAGCCCAGGGCUCAACCCUGGAAUUGCCUUUGAUACUGGCUGUCUUGAGUAUGGGAGAGGUGAGUGGAACUCCGAGUGUAGAGGUGAAAUUCGUAGAUAUUGGGAAGAACACCAGUGGCGAAGGCGGCUCACUGGCCCGUAACUGACGCUGAGGUGCGAAAGCGUGGGGAGCAAACAGG